CGGGGGCCCGCACAAGCGGUGGAGCAUGUGGUUUAAUUCGAAGCAACGCGAAGAACCUUACCAGGUCUUGACAUCCUUUGACCACUCUGGAGACAGAGCUUUCCCUUCGGGGACAAAGUGACAGGUGGUGCAUGGUUGUCGUCAGCUCGUGUCGUGAGAUGUUGGGUUAAGUCCCGCAACGAGCGCAACCCUUGAUUUUAGUUGCCAGCAUUUAGUUGGGCACUCUAAAGUGACUGCCGGUGCAAGCCGGAGGAAGGUGGGGAUGACGUCAAAUCAUCAUGCCCCUUAUGACCUGGGCUACACACGUGCUACAAUGGAUAGUACAAAGGGUCGCGAAGCCGCGAGGUGGAGCUAAUCCCAUAAAACUAUUCUCAGUUCGGAUUGUAGGCUGCAACUCGCCUACAUGAAGCCGGAAUCGCUAGUAAUCGUGGAUCAGCAUGCCACGGUGAAUACGUUCCCGGGCCUUGUACACACCGCCCGUCACACCACGAGAGUUUGUAACACCCGAAGUCGGUAGGGUAACCUUUAUGGAGCCAGCCGCCGAAGGUGGGACAGAUAAUUGGGGUGAAGUCGUAACAAGGUAGCCGUAUCGGAAGGUGCGGCUGGAUCACCUCCUUUCUAAGGAA
rnacentral:rRNA from 1 species